UCCGUUGGUGAACCAGCGGAGGGAUCAU
rnacentral:rRNA from 2 species